rnacentral:rRNA from 1 species
AACGAACGCUGGCGGCAUGCCUAACACAUGCAAGUCGAACGAGACCUUCGGGUCUAGUGGCGCACGGGUGCGUAACGCGUGGGAACCUGCCCUUAGGUUCGGAAUAACUCCCCGAAAGGGGUGCUAAUACCGGAUAAUGUCUUCGGACCAAAGAUUUAUCGCCUUUGGAUGGGCCCGCGUUGGAUUAGCUAGUUGGUAGGGUAAAAGCCUACCAAGGCGACGAUCCAUAGCUGGUCUGAGAGGAUGAUCAGUCACACUGGGACUGAGACACGGCCCAGACUCCUACGGGAGGCAGCAGUGGGGAAUAUUGGACAGUGGGCGAAAGCCUGAUCCAGCAAUGCCGCGUGAGUGAUGAAGGCCUUAGGGUUGUAAAGCUCUUUUACCCGGGAUGAUAAUGACAGUACCGGGAGAAUAAGCUCCGGCUAACUCCGUG